GGCUGGUCCAAGUGCUGUGGUGUUUACAACUAACUGAUCACAACCAGUUACAAUUUUAUUUGUUCCUUAUCCACUCCCAUUAUUUCACUUGGCUAGCCUAAA
rnacentral:Y_RNA from 10 species